rnacentral:rRNA from 1 species
GACGAACGCUGGCGGCGCGCUUAACACAUGCAAGUCGAACGGAAAGGCCUGCUUUCCCUUGUGGAUUGCGGGUACUCGAGUGGCGAACGGGUGAGUAACACGUGAGUGAUCUGCCCCCAACUUGGGUAUAAGCCUGGGAAACUGGGUCUAAUUCCCGAUAGGACUGCAGGGUGGUGCCUGUGGUUGAAAACGAUUUUCUAGUGGUUGGGGAUGAGCUCGCGGCGUAUCAGCUUGUUGGUGGGGGAAUGGCCUACCAAGGCGGCGACGGGUAGCCGGCCUGGGAGGGUGGACGGCCACAUUGGGACUGAGAUACGGCCCAGACUCCUACGGGAGGCAGCAGUGGGGAAUAUUGCACAAUGGGCGGAAGCCUGAUGCAGCGACGCCGCGUGGGGGAUGACGGCCUUCGGGUUGUAAACUCCUUUCGACCGCGAGGAAGCCACCUGGUUGGAAGGGUGGUGACGGUAGUGGUAGAAGAAGCACCGGCUAACUACGUG